rnacentral:lncRNA from 1 species
CACAAAAGGAGGAGAUCACUGGAGAUAUAUUAAAGUAUGGAGACCACCAUCUGUGUGAAGACAGAAGGACAAACCAUAUGGCAUAUGGAGGUAAAGACUACCGAUGGCUUAUGGAUUAUGCAAGUGAUUGAUAUUUGAAAUAAAAAUCUACAUUGAGUUAUCAAAGAUAAUAGUCACUUCCAUUGAAGAAUAAGCAAAACUUCCAAAGACUUCAUUAAUAUCCACAUCAGUGAUAUUUCAAGAGAGACUAACUCAGCAGUGUCAGCUAAUGAAAGUGAAUGAAGAAUGUGAAGAUUAAAAGAUCGUAUGAAUCAAGAAUUAAUUUGUGAAUUUCAUGAGUCAUAAGUGCCCCUAGUGUUUUCCCAGGCCUCACCAAGGCUGUAGGUACAAAUGGUAGAGUUGCCAUCAUGUUCCAGCCACUCUUGGUCCCCAUCUGCAUGUGCCGGGUGUCUCCUCAAAUUCUCUUUCAAGUUGAGUCCUAGCAGGUAUACUUUACCAGUUCAACAGGCCCACUCAAGAAGAUUCAAUCCUAAUAACAGAUACAGCUUAAGCUAAAGCUUGGACACCUCAACUCUUGUAUAAGACCUCAGUCUUUGUACCUGUUUUGUACUAUUAAUUAAACAGUAAAGUUUCUUUUUCUUUCUUUUUUU